rnacentral:rRNA from 1 species
CCUACGGGUGGCUGCAGUGGGGAAUAUUGGGCAAUGGGCGCAAGCCUGACCCAGCAACGCCGCGUGAAGGAAGAAGGCUUUCGGGUUGUAAACUUCUUUUAUCAGGGACGAAACGAGUGACGGUUCUUGAUGAAUAAGCCACGGCUAACUACGUGGCAGCAGCCGCGGUAAUACGUAGGUGGCGAGCGUUAUCCGGAUUUACUGGGUGUAAAGGGCUUGUAGGCGGGUGUGCAAGUCAGAUGUGAAAACUAGGGGCUCAACCCAUAGCCUGCAUUUGACAUUGGACUUCUUGAGUUCUGGAGAGGCAGUCGGAAUUCGGGGUGUAGCGGUGAAAUGCGUAGAUAUACGGAGGAACACCGGUGGCGAAGGCGGAUUGCUGGACAGUAACUGACGCUGAGGCGCGAAAGCGUGGGGAGCAAACAGGAUUAGAUACCCCAGUAGUC